rnacentral:rRNA from 1 species
UGGGGAAUAUUGCGCAAUGGGCGAAAGCCUGACGCAGCGACGCCGCGUGAGGGAUGAAGGUUUUCGGAUCGUAAACCUCUGUCAGAAGGGAAGAAACCGCACUGUGCUAAUCAGCAGUGCCUUGACGGUACCUUCAAAGGAAGCACCGGCUAACUCCGUGCCAGCAGCCGCGGUAAUACGGAGGGUGCAAGCGUUAAUCGGAAUUACUGGGCGUAAAGCGCACGCAGGCGGUUUGUUAAGUCAGAUGUGAAAUCCCCGGGCUCAACCUGGGAACUGCAUCUGAUACUGGCAAGCUUGAGUCUCGUAGAGGGGGGUAGAAUUCCAGGUGUAGCGGUGAAAUGCGUAGAGAUCUGGAGGAAUACCGGUGGCGAAGGCGGCCCCCUGGACGAAGACUGACGCUCAGGUGCGAAAGCGUGGGGAGCAAACAGG